CUUCUCUCAUUCCUUUUUUUCUUCUUUGUUCUGUCUCCCCACCACAAUCACCACCAGCAGAAACAAUAGAUCUACGAACACCAACAACAACUUUAUUCUCCCCCGACACAUUAUUGCACCUGCGUAUCUCACCACUACCACCACCCUCCUCCGCCUCCUUCAAUUCCUUCACCACCAAUACCAUUUCCACCACCGUAAACAUCACCACCCCCAACUCCUCUCCACGUCACAACAACCAUAAUCAAAACCCUAACCAUAGUUUCAUUUUAAAAAUCAGAAGGAAACACAGGUGGAUCUGGUGAUGUUUUGAUGAUUCUGUAAGAUCGGAUGAAGAAAUUGUUGAAAUUAGGGUUGUGACUGUAAUUGCAAUUGAAGAACAAGAAGAACAGAGAUGGGUUGGUGACGAAUUGAUGAUUGAGAUCAAUUUUGUAAGGAAAGGAUGAUGAAGUGGUGAUGUUCCUAACAAGGGUCUGAGGAAUUGGAUCCAACAAUUUUCUUCAAUUUCAUGCCUAAAUUUACUUACUUUUGCCUUCUUCUAUUUUCACCAUCACCCUCCUUCUUCACCACCACUAAAAACAAGCAACACUGUUAUAGACAACUGAAAAUUGAUUUUAAAGGAACAAGAUGAAUCUUCAUAUACACUGGCUUGGCUGAUUAUUGGGGUGAUGAGUUAAGAAGAUGUAUACCAAGUACGAGAUUGAGGUAAAUGGGUCGUGGAGUCAGUUAUGGAGGAGAUCCGAGUUCUUUAGGAUCUCUCUUUCCUUGUCCCUAGGAAUCAAAACUAUAUGUACCUGUUGCACUUGUUGCUGCUUCAACCGCCAUUGCUGCUGCUGCUCAGACCCCCUAGUUCAGUUGAAUUCUCACGAAACCAAAAUUGGUUUCAUCCUAUUUAUGAUGAAACCAAAACUGGUUUCAUCCUAUUUUACCUAUGGAGAUGAUGGUAGUGGUAGUGGGCGGAAGCGGUGCUGGUGGUCGGUGAUGGCGGUCGGCGGUCGUGGUGCGGGUGGCGGUGCGGCAUGUGUUGGCGGUGGAUGGUAGUGGUGGUGCAAUGGCACGGUGCUGGUGGUGGUGGUCGGCAGUGGUGCUGGUG